AUUGAACGCUGGCGGCAUGCUUUACACAUGCAAGUCGAACGGCAGCGCGGGCUUCGGCCUGGCGGCGAGUGGCGAACGGGUGAGUAAUGCAUCGGAACGUGCCCAGUAGUGGGGGAUAGCCCGGCGAAAGCCGGAUUAAUACCGCAUACGACCUGAGGGUGAAAGCGGGGGCCCGAAGGGCCUCGGCCUUUUGGGGGGGCCGAUGUCGGAUUAGCUAGUUGGUGGGGUAAAGGCUUACCAAGGCGACGAUCCGUAGCUGGUCUGAGAGGACGACCAGCCACACUGGGACUGAGACACGGCCCAGACUCCUACGGGAGGCAGCAGUGGGGAAUUUUGGACAAUGGGGGCAACCCUGAUCCAGCCAUGCCGCGUGCGGGAAGAAGGCCUUCGGGUUGUAAACCGCUUUUGUUCGGGAAGAAAUCCUCUGGGCUAAUACCCCGGGGGGAUGACGGUACCGGAAGAAUAAGCACCGGCUAACUACGUG
rnacentral:rRNA from 1 species